rnacentral:rRNA from 1 species
AGUCGAGCGGUAGAGAGAAGCUUGCUUCUCUUGAGAGCGGCGGACGGGUGAGUAAUGCCUAGGAAUCUGCCUGGUAGUGGGGGAUAACGCUCGGAAACGGACGCUAAUACCGCAUACGUCCUACGGGAGAAAGCAGGGGACCUUCGGGCCUUGCGCUAUCAGAUGAGCCUAGGUCGGAUUAGCUAGUUGGUGGGGUAAUGGCUCACCAAGGCGACGAUCCGUAACUGGUCUGAGAGGAUGAUCAGUCACACUGGAACUGAGACACGGUCCAGACUCCUACGGGAGGCAGCAGUGGGGAAUAUUGGACAAUGGGCGAAAGCCUGAUCCAGCCAUGCCGCGUGUGUGAAGAAGGUCUUCGGAUUGUAAAGCACUUUAAGUUGGGAGGAAGGGCAGUAACCUAAUACGUUGCUGUCUUGACGUUACCGACAGAAUAAGCACCGGCUAACUCUGUGCCAGCAGCCGCGGUAAUACAGAGGGUGCAAGCGUUAAUCGGAAUUACUGGGCGUAAAGCGCGCGUAGGUGGUUUGUUAAGUUGGAUGUGAAAUCCCCGGGCUCAACCUGGGAACUGCAUUCAAAACUGACAAGCUAGAGUAUGGUAGAGGGUGGUGGAAUUUCCUGUGUAGCGGUGAAAUGCGUAGAUAUA